AUAACAUAGCCUAAAAUUUAUACUUGGCAAAUCCAUCUGAUAAUGUGGCCUGAAACAGCUGUAUAUUUUCCCAAAAUGUCUCUUGCUGCAAGCCCCGGCUGUGCGUUUCGUCUCAUGUAGAAAUACUCCACAACAGUAAAAGUUAUCAUUGUGGUGAAGUCUGAGCUUCUUCAUUGCAGUCCAAUGCGCUGUGCUGUGCAAUUUGUUGCAGCCAGCUGGCGAAAGGGGUUCUUCUUGCAGGCUUGCUACCUGUAGCGUUUGUAGCUUUGUCAGAUUCAGAAACACUUCCGAACAAUUUAAAAGUAGGAUUAGCAGCCUCUUGAGGUCUGAGUUGCAGUCCAAUGUGUACAUGAAUUUUGUGCAGCCAGCUAGUAAACAGUGUGGUGAGCUGUUGCAUGCAGACUGCGGUGUUGGUGUCGUUCGUUCAUUUAACUUUGGACCGUUCAGUCGUUCGUUUAUCGUAAGAAAUCUGUCACUUGUCGUAGAUCACCGUGGUCAGUUUUAUUGUUGAGCUGUUUAUGGUGUUGCUGUUUGGGGUACAGUGGUUUUGCAGUCAUUUUCCAGUUGAGAGAUGCGCUGAAAUGGAGCUUGUGCAGACUUGCAGUUGAACACCAUACUUUAAUGUGUCAUUUUCCUAUGCAUGUGUCCAUGCAGUGGUGAUCUGUUGUGGAAAAUAGUCGAUGUUGCCUGAUGGCUGUUGGGCUUAUUUUAUCGGCAGCAUUUUGUCGAUCUGUCGUCGCUUGCCACCUGUACCGCCAUUGAGUUGAUUCGUUUGCCGCCGAACUGUUGAAACUAAGAAGACGUUGCUGAAAUUCAAGAUUGAUCAAUUAAUAAUGUUUAUAAAUUAAAAGUGCAUAUCUGGGCUCCCUUCUUCAGUGGCCCCGUUUCCCUAAAUAACCACUAACCAACGCCCGCCGGUGGUCACUCACUCGCUGCGACUACCAGGAGGAAGGGAGAUGUUUGAUCGAACGGGGACUUGCAAGGCGCAUGAUUCGAUGAAAUCUGUUGGAGGGUCAUGAGUCUAAGCCGGAAGCCUACUAAUAUGAUGCAUUGAUUUCAUAAUAACUGCUCCUCAGCUCUCUUCGCUCUUUUUCCGGUUUCUCUUAACCACGGCCGGGUAAUCCUCCCUGGUAGAGUCAGUUGGGCAGUGUCUUCUCCUGCUUGACUGGCUGCAGUUUGUACCGGACGGUUUGUUUAAUAAAUAAAACAAGUAUAAAAAAACAUAUAAUGUUUUCAUUUUAUAAAUUGUUAUUAAUUAAUUAAAUAUAAAUAGGUAACAACUUGAUUAACAAGUAUAUUUAUGUAACGUUGUUUAUUAAACAGACCGUCCGAUACAAACUCUUAGUUAGUACUAUUGCUCAAAAACUGAUUCUCUUGAAUCAGCAGACUCGAGUGUUUAUAGCGCCGCCAAGGUAGAUAUUUCUGAAUGGUACCCGUCUUGUCAACUGCUAAUGAUUCGUGUUCUUGGUUUGACAGAAGCUGUGUUGUGUGUGUUGAUCGUCUCCACCAUGCACGCGAUAAUCAAGACCAGCAACGUCUUGAUCAAGAAGAAGAAAAGAACGGAGAAGCAAAGAACGACGAUGUAAAUAGCGGGAACAGUUUUCCAUACUGGUACGCUGUAUGACGUCGAGCAUUGCCAAAAUGGAAGUGCUCUUUGAAGAACUGAGCGUCUAAAUCUUCUUCAGUCAGAUGAAGCUAACGGAUUCGGAAAUCGUCGAAGAAGCAGAGGACAUCACAGCUAAAAAAAAAACGUGAGUCAAACUCCUGUGGUUAAGUUCUGCAGCUACUCUCAAAAUAUUUUGUCUUGUUUGCUCGUGUUGAUUGUAGACUGCUUUUAAAUUAUCUAUCAGGGAAGCCCUAAUAAGAGGUCCAAGAGAAAUUUAUUCGGGUUAACUGAUACCAUGCCACGUACUAAAUCGUUAAUGGUUUUCAGGUAAAAAAUAACCAUGGGAAUAUGGGGUCGCAGAAAUAGAUGUCACUGGUGGAAAAUAAGAAGGUGAUAUGGUAUUUUUCUUUUCUACUGUCUGAUUUUUAAAGAUUUGGUGAGGAACAUCCAAUCUGUCGAUCGCGGUCGCUAACCAAUUGUUAGAAAAACAGCACCAAUAAUGGUCGAACUCGGAUGUGCUUUAUUCGAGAUUUUAACACAAAUUGCAUUUUAUACAUAAAAAAAAUUAUCAUAAAGCUACAAUGUUACAGCAUUACCCGUACUAUGGCUCGUCCCGGUUUGUAUUGCUUUGUAUAAUCUUUAGUUGAACGCUAAAUUAAUUAGAGGCUAGCUAAGAGAAUUUGGCUAGAUCUUUACAAGAUUAGUGAAUGUGAUUUUUUAAAGAAAUUGUGCCUGUUGCACAUCAUCGAUAUUAUUGGCCUUGAUUCUUAAAGGUGGCUUGGCUAAACUUUCGACGGUUAAACUCUAUUUAAUAAAGAGAUAAUAUAACAUUUAGCUAAUGAUCUUGCAUUCUUGACUAAAUAUUUUCAGGCAACUUUUGAAGUUUUUGUGGGCACUGAUUUGCAGAGUGCUCGUGACCAACAGAUAAAAUGGCCCAAUCCAUAUUGCAAAUUUGCAAGCUGUCUUCCAAAACCAUCCAAAACCAAGGAAUUUCUAUUUGCAAGUCUAAUUAGGUAGAAAACCUUUCUGAAAAGUUUAGGAGCCAUUGUUAAUUUCAAUUG
rnacentral:lncRNA from 1 species